rnacentral:sRNA from 1 species
UAAAUGAACUCAAGAAAAUAAAUCAAAAUGUUGCUGCCUUACCUGUGGCGUCCUCAGUGAUGGACAGAUUGUCUUACCUCUUACCUAGUGCACGUCCAGAACUCGGAGUGGGGCCAGGCCGUUCUGUAGACAGAUCACUGAUGUAUAGUGAAGCUAACAGACGGGAGACAUUUACCUCAUGGCCUCAUGUAGGCUAUAGGUGGGCACAACCAGAUCCCAUGGCUCAAGCUGGAUUUUAUCAUCAGCCUGCCUCAUCUGGAGAUGAUAGAGCCAUGUGUUUUACUUGUAGUGUAUGCCUCGUUUGUUGGGAACCUACUGAUGAACCUUGGUCUGAACACGAAAGACAUUCCCCAAACUGCCCAUUUGUGAAAGGUGAGCACACACAGAAUGUGCCAUUGUCAGUCACUCUUGCAACAAGUCCUGCACAGUUUCCUUGUACGGAUGGAACUGACAGAAUAUCUUGCUUUGGGUCGGGGAGCUGCCCUCAUUUUCUAGCUGCUGCAACUAAACGAGGAAAGAUCUGCAUAUGGGAUGUUUCCAAACUUAUGAAGGUAUGUUUGAAUUUUGAAGUAUCAAAUUAGUAAU